UACGGGGGGAGCAAGCGUUGUUCGGAAUCACUGGGCGUAAAGGGAGUCUAGGCGGUUUGGUAAGUGGGAUGUGAAAUCCCCGGGCUCACCCCGGGACCUGCAUCCCAAACUGCUGAGCUUGAGUACAGGAGAGGGUGGGGGAAUUCCAGGUGUAGCGGUGAAAUGCGUAGAUAUCUGGAGGAACACCGGUGGCGAAGGCGCCCACCUGGCCUGCUACUGACGCUGAAGCUCGAAAGCUAGGGGAGCAAACGGGAGUUAGAA
rnacentral:rRNA from 1 species